UGAUAUAAAUUGUCAUUACACAUAUAUAAAUAUAUAUAAUUUAUAUAUAAAAUUUUGAAGUGUCGAUGAUAAUAUGUAAUAUCAUUUCAUAUGGACUUAAAUUUCUACAUCUUCAAACUUGCUUUUCUAUAAAAAACUUUCUGUCAAACUGUUAUAUAAAAUGACAAAUAUACUGUGUAUCCUUUAACACGUUGCCGCACACUUUUAAUUUGACGAUCAUGUUUAGAAACACAUUUUUUUUUCAAUUUUUUAUAACUGCCACAUGAAAUUAAGCGUCAAUCGUUAUGUACAAGACAGCCAUAGCCGUCAUUUGCUUACAUAUCGUCGACAAUUGGACGGCUAUAGCCGUCAUUUGUGGCAACGUGUUAAAGCAAACCGAUGCAUAAUAACAUUAAUAAGUAUUCAAUACCUACUGUAACGAUAUAUGCAAGUAACAUAUAAAAAGAUGUAAAAUUUCUGACGAAGUAUAUCGUAUAUUUAAUGGGCAACAUUAAAGAAUAUGACAAUAACAUUUUCUAACUGUUACAUAAUUGAAAUGUACAGGAGACUUGCGACAUAAAAAUAUUUAGAACAAGAUUUAAAGUUUAUAAAAUUUUGAAAUAUCUUUAGUAAAGAGUAAUUCCAUUUCAUACUCAAUUAAAAUCUUUCGAUUUGAAGAUUGGCUUUAUCUACAGAUGCUUAGACAUUAUCAUAGGAAAACUUUCACAUAGGGUAAACAGAAAAUAAUAAUAAUAGAUGAAAUGCCAUGGAAAAUAAUUAUAAAAUAUUUUAAUGAUUUUUUAUUAUGAUAUGGUUAUAUAAAAUAUCUGACAAAUGAACGAAUACAGAAAAUGAAAUAGACAAUAUGUAAAACAUUUCAUUGCUAAAAAUAUAUCGUAUCUAAAAUGAUAUAAAAUAAUUGAAGAGUGUAUAAUAAUUAAUUAAUAUUUCAUUACUAACUAGUUUUUUAUUCAUUAAUCUAAUGAUAAUAAUGAUACUAAUUCUCAUGAUACUAAUUCAAAUUUGGCGCUGAGACUUUCUCCAUAUAGUAUGACAGCCAAUAGAUCUCAUUUAGAGAUCGACCUCCACUAUCGUUCUGUGUUCCUAUUAAGAAUCUGAAAUUUUUGCGGCAAUAUAAUAUCUAAUUUUAGUUGUAUGCAUGGUUGUAUGGGUACUUAUGUGUGUACAUAAUUACAUACAGAGAUACAGAAUGCAUUGACAUAUACGUUAAACCUUGAUAAUUAUUUUUUUUUUUCUAUUAUUAAGACUUCUUUAUUAACUUUUAUGAGCUUAUAUAAUUCCUGAAAAUCCGUAGAACAUAUCUAGCUUCUAAAUAUUUAUAAUUUAUUAUUGUAAAUUAAAUAAAUUAUAUCUUAAUCAGUAAUAUGUAUCUAGGUUAAUAUGUCCCGGCGAUUAUUUAUGAAAUAGUUAAUUAUUAGACACGUUUAUAAAUGUUUAUGAUAUCAUAUUAUUCCAACGAAUUUAUAGAACAUUACGAACAUUUAAAUGUGACAAUUUUUAUUAUUAUUCUUACUUUAUCAAUUCAGAUAACGUCUCUCUGUACUGAUUCAAAUUUAGCGCUGAGAUUUAUUCCAUCUAACAUCACAGCCAAUAACAUCUAAGUUAGCGAUCGACCUCUACUAUCGUUCUGCGUUCCCAUUAGAAAUUUAAGAUAUUUGGCGAGAAAUUGAUGGCUAAUUUUAAGUAAUAUAUAUAUAUAGAAUACAUUCAUGUAUACAACAAAUUGUAAUAAUUUAUUUCUUAAUUAUUAAUAAUUCCUUAUUAACUUUUAUAGGCUUAUGUUAUUUCUAAUAGUCCAUAAAACAUUUUAAGCGUCUAAAUAUUUAUAAUUUAUUCCUGGAAAUUGUGUAAAUUUAAUCAGUGUUAAUUUAUAUUAGUAUGUCACAGUAAUUAUUUAUAAAAUAAUUAGUCAAGCAACAUUUCACGAACUUCUACAUCAUAUCAAUCAAGAGUUAAUAAUUAAACAAUAGUAUAUUCCGAUACAUCACAUAGAUUAUAAGACGUAUCAUAUAUACAAUAAUUUUUUUUCAGCCUUUCUCGAUUGAAUGUCAACAAGAAGGAACAUUAGAUUAGAUUGAUCGUGCGAGUUACCAUGUUAUUUCCUUUUCGUAUUCCGAAAAAAACAUUUUGUUUUCGUAUAGCUGACAUUUAAUCAUCUUAGUGAUCCGACGAUUUUAUAAUUAUUUAAAUAAUCUACAAUGUACUCGUAGUACGAUGAGACUAGCGAUGGUCCUAUUAACGUCACUCGGACUUACGUCACCGCGAUAAAGUAGACAGCAACUCAUAUAAGUACCCGUACGGGGAUCGCACUUUACCAUCUAAGAUCGAGCGAUAGAGAUGAGUGUAGUUAUAGGAGCAUACGUUACCAAGGGGAAAUGAAUUCUUGGAUAAGGUACUAAAUUCGUCUGCAACUCCUCCAAACUGACAUUGACCGAACCUUCAAAUCUCAUCGACGCUGUGAUGCUUGAUAUUACCUGAGCUUGCAAUCGGUUGAGAUUCGUAUAAGUUGGAUUUUCCACGUUCAGAUUCCUACGAAUGUAAUAAACGAAUAAAAAAGAUAUCUCAGAUA